UACGUAGGAGGCAAGCGUUGUCCGGAUUUACUGGGCGUAAAGCGCGCGCAGGCGGCAGUGUAAGUAAGGUGUGAAAUCUCCCUGCUCAACGGGGAGGGUGCAUUUUAGACUGCACAGCUAGAGGUCGGUAGAGGGGGGUGGAAUUGCUGGUGUAGCGGUGAAAUUCGUAGAUAUUCGGAGGAACACCAGUGGCGAAGGCGGCUCACUGGCCCGUUACUGACGCUGAGGCACGAAAGCGUGGGGAGCCAAACAGG
rnacentral:rRNA from 1 species